rnacentral:rRNA from 1 species
AACGAACGCUGGCGGCAUGCCUAACACAUGCAAGUCGAACGAGAGCUUCGGCUCUAGUGGCGCACGGGUGCGUAACGCGUGGGAAUCUGCCCUUGGGUUCGGAAUAACAGUUGGAAACGACUGCUAAUACCGGAUGAUGACGUAAGUCCAAAGAUUUAUCGCCCUGGGAUGAGCCCGCGUCGGAUUAGCUAGUUGGUGGGGUAAAGGCCUACCAAGGCGACGAUCCGUAGCUGGUCUGAGAGGAUGAUCAGCCACACUGGGACUGAGACACGGCCCAGACUCCUACGGGAGGCAGCAGUGGGGAAUAUUGGACAAUGGGCGCAAGCCUGAUCCAGCAAUGCCGCGUGAGUGAUGAAGGCCUUAGGGUUGUAAAGCUCCUUUACCCGGGAAGAUAAUGACUGUACCGGGAGAAUAAGCCCCGGCUAACUCCGUGCCAGCCGCCGCGGUAA